GAUGAACGCUGGCGGCGUGCCUAAUACAUGCAAGUCGAGCGAACAGACGAGGAGCUUGCUCCUCUGACGUUAGCGGCGGACGGGUGAGUAACACGUGGAUAACCUACCUAUAAGACUGGGAUAACUUCGGGAAACCGGAGCUAAUACCAGAUAAUAUAUUGAACCGCAUGGUUCAAUAGUGAAAGACGGUUUUGCUGUCACUUAUAGAUGGAUCCGCGCCGCAUUAGCUAGUUGGUAAGGUAACGGCUUACCAAGGCAACGAUGCGUAGCCGACCUGAGAGGGUGAUCGGCCACACUGGAACUGAGACACGGUCCAGACUCCUACGGGAGGCAGCAGUAGGGAAUCUUCCGCAAUGGGCGAAAGCCUGACGGAGCAACGCCGCGUGAGUGAUGAAGGUCUUCGGAUCGUAAAACUCUGUUAUUAGGGAAGAACAAAUGUGUAAGUAACUAUGCACGUCUUGACGGUACCUAAUCAGAAAGCCCCGGCUAACUACGUG
rnacentral:rRNA from 1 species